rnacentral:miRNA from 1 species
AGACUAUUUGGAAACCACUGGA